AUGAAACUCUCGUUCAAUUACAUCACAUACCCUCCACAAAUAUCUUCCUUCAUCUUCUGGAGCUUGUCCUUCAAUUUCAAUUUUCCCUUGAGCAUAUUCUCCUCUUCUUCACUCCAAACAAACCCUGAAAACUGCAAAACAUUCCUCUUAAAAUGAUAAGCCUUUCCGCGCCUUCCAUAAAGAAGUCAUUUCAACACCUCUGGUGAGCUUGGAUAGUUUAUAUGCCACAUUUGGAGUGUUCUUAAGCUGUGUGCCUUUGCCCUGUUCAAUGAUGAAUUCUCUGGAGCUAUCCCUAAUGGUGGAAGGAUCAAAGGUUUUUACAGGCUUCUUUUCUCUCACAGGCCGAUCCAGCGGAGUAGUGGGCAGGCGUUGAAAGUAAAUCCUCAGUUUUCUCCUCUCUGAAUUCUUCAGCCAUAUCGAGAUUCGAACCUCCCCUGGAAUUAAAUACCUCUUAUAGCUCAGUUAAAUGAAUCGGCAUCAAAUAUGGACUUACAUGUUCGAAUUCAAAAUUUCCAUUCAUGACACUAACAUUGGAUUCAUGGGUGGGCCCAUUUGUCAUGCUGGUAUUAACACUUCUCAAAGGCCAUUGACAAUUGAGGAUUAGUGAGCUGCAUCACCAACUUAGGCACACCUUGGAUACGACAACUAGUAUGUGAUGUUUGUCUUGUCAACAUAGCUAAAAAUGAAUCUAGAAGGAUGAAACCUACAAUGUAGUGUGGGAUGCAUUGACAUUCCUAUUUCUAGUUGGGAUGUAUUUGGAGGGUGAGCAUUAGUGAACCAAGUAAUGAGAUGAUGCAUACAAUAAGGUUGCAUCCACUUCCUAUUGUCAACUGAGCACCAUGUGUGAGUUAAUCACCGUGUACAUGUAUAAUAAUGACCUCAUUUGUUAUGUAUUAUUAUAUUUAUGUCAUUUCUAGUGAUCACAACAUGUAGUAUGGGGUGUUUUUCUUGUCAUCAGAAAAAAAUGAACUAUGAAGAUGAUGGGACCCUUGAUUUUAGUAUAGGUUGAAUUGAGACUUGUCUUUCUAGUUGUGAUACACUUAAAGGCUUAUGUGUUGGUGAACUAGGUAAAGUAUACUCAAAUAUAGACACACAUUCUAAAGUAGGCUCUUGCUUAAGUGAUAGUAGAAACAACCCUUAUGUAAUUACACCGGUAGACUAUGUCACAAGGUGUCAUGUGUUACCAAAAAGGAUAAUUCUUCUGGUUGGAUAUUAGAUUGUGAAAGAGACAUUCUUUGACUAAU